CUAACGCUGACAGGGGCGAUUUC
rnacentral:miRNA from 1 species